GGGGGCGCGAGUGCCAGUUCGUGAGCGUGCGCGUUCUCGCUGUCGCCGGUGCUGCUUCCGCCGUCCUCUGCCACUGCUACCACUGUCGCCGCCCCGGAUCCUUAGGCCGAGCUGUAGGACGGCCGGCUGCCCAGCAGCGCCGCGGUACGGAGAGCGGAGCCGCGGAACCGGUGGACCGGCAGGCGGGCCCACAGAUUAAUCUAACAUGGCUGACCAGAGGCAGCGCUCACUCUCUACCUCCGGGGAAUCAUUAUAUCAUGUUCUUGGGCUGGACAAGAAUGCAACCUCGGAUGACAUUAAAAAGUCCUAUCGGAAGCUGGCCCUGAAAUAUCACCCUGACAAGAACCCUGAUAACCCAGAAGCUGCAGACAAGUUUAAGGAGAUUAACAACGCCCACGCCAUCCUGACAGAUGCCACGAAAAGAAACAUUUAUGACAAGUACGGCUCGUUGGGGCUCUAUGUGGCCGAGCAAUUUGGGGAGGAGAACGUCAACACCUACUUCGUACUCUCCAGCUGGUGGGCCAAGGCCCUGUUCGUUGUCUGUGGCCUCCUCACCUGCUGCUACUGCUGCUGCUGUUUGUGCUGUUGCUUUAACUGCUGCUGUGGGAAGUGCAAGCCCAAGGCACCUGAGGGUGAAGAGACAGAAUUCUACGUAUCGCCUGAAGACCUGGAGGCACAGCUGCAGUCUGAUGAGAGGGGAGGGCACUGACACUGUGCCGAGAGUGUUUGUGGUGGCAUCUGGGACUGUUGAGGUGUGAACGUGGACACUUGAGAGGCUACAGACACACCGAUCGUCAUACAGCCAGCAUCUGCCACAGAAACCACCCAGCUGACGGCUGACUCCCACCCCAGCUACCACACCGACGGGUUCAACUAAAUUCAGGAGAGGCUGUGAUUAGAGGAUGAAUCAGCACCUGGCCACUGCAACCUUAGAAUCAUGAACUGUAGUCACUGAGAUGGGGAGGCAGCCGUCAACCUGACUUGCAGUGGCUGGUCAGGGCCCCUCCCACCUCCUCUAAGCCCAACCAUCUGUCAAUCCUUGAUACACGACGAAGUGCGUAGCAUGCAGUAUUUAAAGCAGUGUAGCUACGGUCUUCUUAUGUUUUAUCCUUUUUUUAAUAGCAUGUAUGGGUUAUGUUCAAUGUCUGUGUUGUGGAUGUGCUACAGCUGGGCUGAAUUAACUGGAUGGUAGUGCUUUCUUGGGUUUUCAGCCAAGUGGGUCCAGUGAGGUUCAGCUGUCUCCUUGUGCUUACAGGAGUAAGUUAGGCACCUGGAGCUACAUCUCCUUGUUGGCCUCUGUGUCCUGUGACAUGGUCUAGUCCAUGGCUCUGCUCUCAUCCUCAAGGCUGCAGACAGGGUUCUGAUUUGACCUGCGAAGGAGGGAGCUGGGCCCCAUCCUCCCAGGCACCACCAGCAUCAGUCGUUUGCACGAUGUUCGUGUUGGGAAGCUUUCAUAGGGUCUCUGCAUCAUCUCACUCGGCCUCGUGACAGUUUUCCUGUGUUAGAUCUGCUAUGGAGAGUGCAGGUAUGCCCCUUCUGAAAGUGGGAGCACACUCUGUGUAAUAUCUCUAUCUUGGGUCUCCUGGCCUUGUGGACUGAGAUCUUAUCAUUGGAGGCAUGUCCCUUGCUGGUGUAUGGGAAAUCAUUUGUCUCUGUUCUGCACCUUUCCAGGUCAAAAGCUGGAUUGACGGGGCCACAGCCUCAUUCCUGGGUCAUCUUCCACAUUCCUUCAAGCCAACCAUUUUAAUUCUUUUUUUUUUUUUUUUUUUUUUUUUUUUGACUUUAAGAACCACAAAUGGUAGCACCUGCCACUUAUUAAUAGUCAGAAAGUCUUUGAGUCCAGUUGUGGGUGGCAUGUAGCUGCUUAUAAAGAGUUUGAGUACCCAGGAUCCAGAACCUCCUCCCUGUGCUUGCCAGAACUCCAUCCACCCCACUUGCCUCCGCUUCCACCUGUCAUCAUGAAUGCCUCUGGCAGAGCUGGAGUGUUGGGUUCCUGGAGUAGGUGACUGGACCCUGGUACCCCUGCCUCAGAAGGGUUGGCUUCUAGGGAAGCUAUGGUGACAGUCACUCGACCUGGGAUGCCAGCUGCAGGCUACAGAAUUUCUUUGUGAAUCUCCAGUCAGUAUUCCAGUCUUGGUCAAGGGUACUGUGGUGGGUGGAAUUGAAAAAUGUGGUUACCAGGGAUUUUGAACCAUACUACCCUUUUACAGUUAGCUGGAUUAGCUGCACCAGACUUCAAUGAGCCUGGUUCCUCCAGAACCUUCCUGCUGGCUGCUGCUGACUACCUGCAUUUCCAGUACAGAUGAAGAAGGAGAAAGCUCAUGUGGUGACUCAGUGGCUCAGACAAACCACCAUGUGUUUCCGAAGCCCACCUUGUCCACCUGGCCCCAGUUCACCAGGGCCUUCAGGGACCAGAUCAGGUUGACAGGAAGUUGCAAGAAGAGGCAGCAUUGUGAGGACAAAGCUGGCAGUGAUUGAGGGUACCUAACCAGAUCCUGGGAGGCAUUGAUGCCAGGGUUCCCAGCUGACCCUACAGGAGAACUCCAUGAGCCAGAAGCUGGCUUCAAGAUCCUUCCAUGGGUUUGUUAGUUUGUUUUGUUCUUUAAAGGAUCUUAGGGAUUUUCACUAGCAUACUACGUUAGAAAUAAUUUGUAAACAUUGGACCUAUGGCUAGAUGUAGUGGGACAUGCCUAUAAUCCCAGCACUAGGGAGGCUGAGGUAGAAGGACAUUGAGUUGUAGACCAGUCUGGGCUUUACACAGUAAGACUCUGACUCAAACAAAUCUAGUAGAAGAAUGAGAAAUUCAUUACUGGGCCAAUUGUUGCGACAAAAGAAGAAGAAAGGCCACUGGGCAUCUGGGGUGCUGGUCCCAGUACAUUAAUCUUGGUGCCCUUUUAACAUAAUGACGAGGAACCAGAUUCAGAGUUGUAGGUAAUGAGUAGAGAGCUGCAAUCUGGUAGCACAUCCCUCCUGCAUGUAGCUCUGUGGCCCUUUCCCUUACAUCCUAGUGAGCCAGGUCCUGAACUGGGACUUGUGGUGCUGUAGGGUGAGAGCACAGAAAUUGAGCCUAGUGUCUUUUGGAAUUUGUAAAGCUAAAUAAAUCAUGUUGAACUUGAAAUAAGUAGAACAGUUUCAAGGUGAUAAUAGUGAUUGCCAAGGCCAGUUAACUCCCUGACCUAUUCCUUCACACAGACUCCCUGCAGGGUUUUACUGUGUUGAUCUAAGUUCUCCUUGAUUUCAUUUGCCUAAGUUCUCCUUGAUUUCAUUUGCCCUGACCUAAGCAUAACUGGUGAGUCUCAGGAUCAGCCUGACUAUUCCUGACCAAAUACUAUUAAAUAUAAAGACAGACAGACAGACAGACAGACAGACAGACAGACAGACACACACACACACACACACACACACACACUCACUCACUCACUCACUCACUCCCUCCCUAAACUCCUAUGCUGGUAGGCAAUGUAGAUGGUGUUGUGGUGUUUUGCCAAGGGAGUGCUGAAGUCUGUGCAUGGAAGUUCAUCAAGAGCAGUGGAUACCCCUUCAGGACCAGAAACUGAUCACUUCUGACCUACAGAAAGUAUUUGGGAGAGAUCCUGGAGACCCAUCUCACCAAGACUAGAGUGUAGAUUUCUGUUUGUGCCCAAUGAUGUGGUCUUUACUUGUCUUCCUUUUGACUGUGUUUUUAAAUUACUUUAGAUAAUUCUUUGCAAUGUUUAUAACCCUUCCUAGUCUUCUGAUGUUCAUUAUCAUAGCCAGCACCCAGUGGGGACCUGUUAUAAAAAGAAAUCAGUGCUUACUGUGGUUAGCAGGAAACUUUCCCAAGUUGUUGGUUGCUGGAUUUGUUACGGAAUCAUAAAGCCAGUCUUUUCUCAGAUGUUCAGAUGCCAGGUUUUACUAAUAUCAAUGCCCACUGUCCUGCUGACCCAUGGCUUUUAUUCCAGGUGAACCUUGUGCAAAGGAGCUGCCAUUGUUGCAUCUGGUAGUCUCCAGAGAUGGUGACCCAAUCAUUCAAGCUGUCCCUGGAGGGUCUAGGUGCUGUGGUACAGAGAACUGGUGGGCCAUGACCAUCUUCCUGUGGCUUUCAGUGCACCUUUUAUUGAGGGAUAGCUGUGAACAGUGUAAAACAUGACUGAUCUCAUUCUUUUCCCUGUGUUUUGAGCUGUGAACCCAUGUGUCCCAGCACUGACCUGUUCCUUUUAUUUUGGUUGAGUUAUCCUCCUAUGGAAAUAACAAAAGCUACAUCUUUACUAUCCUCACAAGCAUGGUAUGUGUUGUCACAUACUGUGAGUGUGGGCUAUGGUGUGUGUUGGUGUGUGUACAUAUGUGUAUAUGUAUAUAUCACACAGCAGGCCUGUCAUGCUGCUGUUUGGUGGCAAAGCAACAAGUACAAUAAAAGUCGGCUCCAAAAUA